rnacentral:rRNA from 1 species
GACGAACCACACGAACGUUAUUCGGAAUUACUGGGCUUAAAGGGUGCGUAGGCUGUGCAGAACGUUAGGUGUGAAAUCCCCCGGCUCAACCGGGGAAUUGCGCUUAAAACUACUGUGCUAGAGGAAGACAGAGGUGAGCGGAACUUCGGGUGGAGCGGUGAAAUGCGUUGAUAUCCGAAGGAACACCGGUGGCGAAAGCGGCUCACUGGGUCUUUUCUGACGCUGAUGCACGAAAGCUAGGGGAGCAAACGGG